rnacentral:tRNA from 1 species
CAGAAGAGACAGGAUUUGAACCUAUAUCAUCGAAUUUGGAGGCCGAUAUUCUACCCUUAAACUACUCUUCU